UUAAAUUUAAUCUGCCUAUUAAAUUAUUAUUAGUAAUGGUCUUUAAAAUUAAAAAAUUUGGCGGUAUUUUAGUCUUUUUAGAGGAACCUGUUCUAUAAAUGAUAAUCCACGAUUUUAUAAACUUUUAUUAUUAAUUUGUAUAUCGUCGUAUUUAAAUAUUUUUUUAGGAUAAUAAUAUUUAUAAUUUUUAUAAAAAAAAAAUAAUCAAAUCAAGGUGCAGUUUAUAUAAAAGUAGAAAUGGGUUACAGUAAAUUUAUUUAUGGAUUUUAAAUAUUAUUAUAAAAUGAAAUUGGAUUUAAAUGUAAUAUUAAUUAAUUUAUUAGUAUGAUUUUAGCUCUAAAAUAUGU
rnacentral:rRNA from 1 species